rnacentral:sRNA from 1 species
GCGGGGCGUGGUGGUGCAUGCCUGUAAUCCCAGCAGCUCUGGAGGCUAAGACAGGAGAAUCUCGAGUUCAAAGCCAGCCUCAGCAAUGGUGAGGCAUGAAGCAACUCAGUGAGACCCUGACUCUC